GCACCCUUAGCUCAGUUGGUAGAGCAUUUGACUCUUAAUCAACAGGUCGCCGGUUCGAGCCCGGCAGGGUGCACCA
rnacentral:tRNA from 1 species